rnacentral:tRNA from 1 species
AAGUAGUGAAGUAAAAAUUAUACAUUUAGUUUCGACCUAAAAUUAAGGGCAUGCCCCUUACUUU